AUUGAACGCUGGCGGAAUGCUUUACACAUGCAAGUCGAACGGCAGCACGGGGCGACCUGGUGGCGAGUGGCGAACGGGUGAGUAAUACAUCGGAACGUGCCCAAUCGUGGGGGAUAACGUAGCGAAAGUUACGCUAAUACCGCAUACGAUCUACGGAUGAAAGCGGGGGAUCGCAAGACCUCGCGCGAGUGGAGCGGCCGAUGUCAGAUUAGGUAGUUGGUGGGGUAAAGGCUCACCAAGCCAACGAUCUGUAGCUGGUCUGAGAGGACGACCAGCCACACUGGAACUGAGACACGGUCCAGACUCCUACGGGAGGCAGCAGUGGGGAAUUUUGGACAAUGGGCGCAAGCCUGAUCCAGCCAUUCCGCGUGCAGGAUGAAGGCCUUCGGGUUGUAAACUGCUUUUGUACGGAACGAAACGGCGGGCUCUAAUACAGUUUGCUAAUGACGGUACCGUAAGAAUAAGCACCGGCUAACUACGUG
rnacentral:rRNA from 1 species